rnacentral:lncRNA from 1 species
AGAAAUAGCAAACCAUCCAGCUGCUGUUGUGUCCCCAAUGAAGGCUCUUCCAUUUACACUGUGGCACAGAGAUGCAUUCCUGCCUGCCUGGGGUACCUCCAUGCAUGUGACCAUAUCACCACUGGGCCUUUUGACCUUCUGUACUGGAAACUUUCUUUUCGAUCCCAUACAUCCUCAUAGGUUCCUGGGCAGGAUAUUCACAGGAACCCAGAAUUAUGAUUCUAUGCCUGGCAAAACAACUCCAGUAUACUCAGCUUGUUGCAUAAACCUGCAUAAAUUCACUGCAGGAACAAGACAGUCUUCCAUUACCUGGUGGCAGUGGAUGUCAUUUGCUGGCAAUCCUCCCAUGGAAGUGGCUCAGAAAGCACCAUCAGGCUGCUGAGGCCAAAACCACGGUGUCCUGGGGCUGGGGGCCUGUGAGGUGGGGUGCGGAUAGGAUUUCGUUGCUGUGGAUGUUUUGGGAUUUGGGGGUUAAACCUUUGGAGGUUUAAUCCUUUGGUGGAGGGAUCCUUUGAAUCAGAGCCCAGCAUUUGCCUAGGGCAUGGCUCAACCACUGGGCUACAAUAUAAAAUACAGGACACCUAACACCUAAUCGUUGUUUAGGUUAUAAACUUAUGCAACUAUUAGCUGCUGGGUGGGACAGGACACCUGACAUCAUGGACUCUGUGUUUUCAAGCUCUCACCCCAUCUGACAAAAUUCUUAACACAUUUCAGUUUUACACCUCAAUUCUUAACUUGUUCAGGUGCAGAACAGGAUGUGAAUUGACUGAACAGCACUUGUGAGCAUCAUUAUCUGGUUGAUGAACCAGGUUCCUUCUUGAGAAAGAAGUGCUGGAACUGCAACCAGCCAACCACUGCUGAAGUAUUUUCUAUGUAAUUUCUAUUUGAAAUAUUCUUUUCAGUCCUACUGUUUCCUCUCCUACGGUCUGAUAGACCCAAAUCUGUCUUCAGUUUUGCUAUUGCUUUAGAUAUUUCUAUUCCCAUUCUCACUGUAUCCAUGAUGCUUUUUCUGCUUUUGAAAAGAUUCUGCCCCAUCCUAUCAGACUGUUAUUUUGUGAUGCUUUCCUGUUUACAUUUAUAUCUUUCAGAUCAAUCUCCACUUACUUGAACAACAGCUUCCCUUCAAAUCAUAGUGCAGGCAUCCCUGUGUGCAGGGGAAGGAAUUUAUCAUUCAAAUAAACAUGAAGAAAUGCUUUUAUUUCCUAAUCA